CCUCCUCCUCCUCCUCCUCCUCCUUCUCUUCCUGGAGCGCCUCUGAAGUCCAGACACGUAGAUUUGAGAUUGGUCACAGUCUCUCUUACUCCUUGCCUCAGUUUCCUCACAUGGAGGAAUGGUGCUGAAUCGCAGUCCCUACCUUAGGAACCAUCCUGAAGAUCAGAUGAGUCAACUCAUGUCAAGUGCUUAGAAAAACCAGCAUGGAGCAGUACCGGGCUCCACCCAUAUCAGGUCCUCUUCUAAUGACCCCAAGAUGCCUACUGGAGUAGACGAUGCUCCCAACCCAGAACCAACAGAGAAGGGCAGGAGAAAUUCAAGUGUCGAUUGGUUUAAGAUCCUCAGACAGCUGAACCCAGAAAAGCAUAGGCUGAGGAGUCCAGGAAGUUUCCUUAGGCAACCAGAUGUUUCCAGAGGCUUCAUUCCUUUGUGCUCUUCACUUACCAUCUAUCUCAAAUAACUAACAAGGCUCAGGAAUCACCCUCAUCAUCCUCCGUGUUACUCUUCAAAAUCCAGGUGAUGCUGACAGACGCAUUCAUGUGGGUCCGUGUUUUCCAUCCCCAGAAGAGCUCCGUGAUGUCUGCCGAGGUUUGUGUUUCCAGAGGAGAGAACCGUUGUUAGUUGCUUUGACUGGUCCCAGGGUUGGCCUCAAACUCAUGAUCCUCCUGCCUCAGCCUCCUCAGUGUGGAGUGAUUAUAGGCAUGAGCCACCAUGUCCAAGUUACUUCUUAAAGUAAACUUUUUAGAAAACUA